rnacentral:rRNA from 1 species
UAUUACCCCGAGCCCAAAAUCUAGCCCAAAAAUAUUCUAAUGAAAACACCAUUCUAUCCUUUUUAAUUAAAACAUUCUUAAAAUUUAGUAAAGGCGAUCGAAAAAUUUUAAUGGCGCAAUAAACCUAGUACCGCAAGGGAAAGAUGAAAUAACCGUGAAACACCCCCAAGCACCAAAAAGUAGAGAUUUCCGCUCGUACCUUUUGCAUCAUGGUUUAACAAGUUUAAUCAAGCACAACGCCCUACAGUUUGACUUCCCGAAACUAAACGAGCUACUUCAAGGCAGCUUAAUGAGCCUACCCGUCUCUGUUGCAAAAGAGUGGGGAGACCUUCAAGUAGAGGUGAUAGACCUAACGAGUUUAGUGAUAGCUGGUUACUCAAGAAAAGGAUUUUAGUCCGACCUAAAGAUACUUAAAUACAACAAUAUACAAAUCUUAACUUUAGAGCAACUCAAAUAAGGUACAGCCUAUUUGAAACAGGAAACAACCUCAACUUAAGGGCAAGAAUUUAACAAAAUAACUAAGUGGGCCUAAAAGCAGCCAUCUUUAAAACAGCGUCAAAGCUUAAUCAUUUUUGUUUUUUAAUUCCUCCACAACUCUCUUUCCCUUUAUUAGUAUUGAGUAAUUCUAUAACAUUAUAGAACAUUUUAUGUUAAAACUAGUAACAAGAAGAAAGCCCUUCUCUUUAAUGUAAGUGUAAAUCAGAAAGGAUCCACCACUGAUUAUUAACACCUAUGAACUCACAGUAGCAACUCAACAAGAAAACUCUACUAAUAAUAAUGUUAACCUAACACAAGAACAUUUUAAGAAAGAUUAACAGAAAAAGAAGGAACUCGGCAAAUAUUAACCUCGCCUGUUUACCAAAAACAUCGCCUCUUGAAACCACUAAUAAGAGGUCCAGCCUGCCCAGUGACUCUGUUCAACGGCCGCGGUAUUCUAACCGUGCGAAGGUAGCGUAAUCACUUGUUCUUUAAAUAAGGACUAGUAUGAAAGGCACCACGAGGGUUAUACUGUCUCCUUUUUCUAAUCAGUUAAACUAAUCUCCCCGUGAAGAAGCGGGGAUUUAUAUAUAAGACGAGAAGACCCUAUGGAGCUUUAAACAUUUAUAGCAUCUGCUAAAUUAAUUUAAAUUUCAGCAAACCCAUAUUUAUUUUAGCAUUACUGACUAUUAGUUUUAGGUUGGGGUGACCAUGGAGAAAAAUAAAACCUCCAUAUUGAAUUUUAGAACAAUAUCUAAGCAAAAAGUCACGACUUUAAGCAUCAAAAAAUUGACAUCAAUUGACCCAAUAUUUUGACCAACGAACCAAGUUACCCUAGGGAUAACAGCGCAAUCUACUUCAAGAGCUCCUAUCGACAAGUAGGUUUACGACCUCGAUGUUGGAUCAGGGUAUCCUAGUGGUGCAGCCGCUACUAAAGGUUCGUUUGUUCAACGAUUAAAACCCU